rnacentral:misc_RNA from 1 species
GAGUGAUGUUGCAUGAGCUGUGCCAUAUUGAUAGGGACCGACAGAUGCGAAAGAUUAGCACUCAGCUGCCCCAUGCAUAUCUGCCUCUUGAGUUCCAAAGGACGCAUCACCGAUCACAGUCCGUCUAGUGAGGUGCCAACGACAAAUACGAAGUAGUUGGCUGACGGGAACACAAGUUCUGCUGACAUUUGAAAAAAGGAGGAACACUUCUUGUGUGGUUUUGCUUCUUAUACGUUUGCGCGGUCGCCAGACCUCUGGUAGUGUCUCCACCGUCAACAUGGAUCUGAACAUCGAUCACAUUCUGAAUGCGGAGACCAUCGAUUUUCAAGCACUCACGAGAAGCUGUCGUCGCGGCUUGCACGAAAGCGCGCGCCCUGAUUGUUGGAAAAUUAUAAUGGGGUUCUAUCCGACAUCCACAAAGCGCUGGGCUGCCAUUGAAGCCGAACGACUCCAGGAGUACAAUGGUGUUUUAGAGGCCUGCGGUCUUGGACCCGAGCCAUCGAAGUUUGAACCGAGCGAUGUCUCGCGCUUCAUCGACGGUGACGUGCCUCGCACCAUGCCAUCCUUGAAUUUUUUUCUUGCAGAUGAGAGCCGACUGGAAAUCAGCCGAGAUGACAGUACGGCAGAGGUUGCACAUUUCACUCCCUCGCAGCAUGCAUUGCGCAGAAUACUAAUAAGCACAGCAAUGGCAAACAAAUCACUCGGAUAUGUUCAAGGAAUGAACGAGUACGUCGCUCACCUCCUUUACGCCUUCGCCGAAGGUAAGGCAUCGAAUGUUACGGCCUCCGUCGAGGCGGAUACCUUCUUUUGUUUCCAAACGCUUCUCUCGUACCUUGGUGACGACUUCUGUCGCUCAUUCGACUUUGACCCAGCUUGCGGGCUCACCAGCACGAUGAGGCUGUUUGACAAUGUCUUGCGCUUUUUUGAUCCCUCGUUGUUUCAACACCUCGAGUAUCUGGGCAUUAAUGCGGAGCACUAUGCACUUCGUUGGAUCAUGCUCUUGUUUACGCAGGAGUUCAACAUAGCAGACGGCCUGCGCGUGUGGGACUUUCUUUUUUCAUUCGGCGACGAGAUCAGAAACGCCGCCUUCUUCGUUGCGGCGGCAAUGUGCCACCACCUGCGCAGCUCCAUUUUGUCCGGAGAAGCGAUGAGUGAUGUUUUGCCGCUUCUUCAGGAGUAUCCGGCCGAGGACGUGAACCUCUUUCUUCGCAUAGCGUUGAAGUGGAUUGUGAAGUUCGAUUUCGACCUACUACAAGAACUGAAACCAUUGUCUCCGGAGGGUGUGCAGGCGCUGCGACGCAGCCGCGGGCUAGAAGGAGGGAUGAAUUUUGUGCAAGUGAUGCAGAGUUGGGUGCCGUCUAUGUUUUAGGCUGCUUGCUGCGGCAAAAACUUUGUGCUUUCAUGAUAUGUUUUCCUUCUGUGCCACUGCUGAGCGUGCAUCCUGACAUGGCAGCCCGAAAUCUCGGGUGUGAAGUGAUUCCUCCUUGUUUUUGUUGCUCGUAUCGUGUGCUGAGCUCCCGUUUUAUGAAAAGGAUACUUCUCACGGACAGCACUCUGCUUCGACCUUCACGCAUUCU